AGCAGUAAGGAUUGUGUGGGGUGUAAACUGUAUGAGAUGGGAGGACACUUUGCAGGUGAGCCCCACCCUCUCCUGUUGCACAGACUGCUAGCAGAGAGAGCAGCAAACACACCUGGACAACACAAACCUGUGGGAUAUUCACAUUUCACAUAUGCAAAAAAGAGAAAGGUUCUCCUGAAGUCCCUUCUCCCCUGCGUCUCCAGAGGGCCUCUACCAUGAUGAAGCUGACCGGUGCUAUUCUACUUCUCUCGUUGGUGUCGCUAGUCCACGGUGCCUGCUCUCUCAAUGGGAGGAACAGAGGAGACCUCUAUGACUGCCCAGCGGACGUGUACAUUGUUCUGGACACCUCAGAGAGUGUGGCACUGAGGGCCAAGCCCUACGGCUCCUUUGUUGAUCAGAUCAAGCAGUUUGCCCUGGACUUUGUGGACCUGCUCAAUACUAG